rnacentral:rRNA from 1 species
UUUCGGUGGCAAUGGCGGAGGGGUCACACCUGUAACCAUUUCGAACACAGUAGUUAAGCCCUCCUGCGCCGAUGGUACUGCUUGGGAGACCUUGUGGGAGAGUAGGACGCCGCCGG